rnacentral:piRNA from 1 species
UACAUUUGUGGGUUUGGAUGUGAGCAUC